GAGAGUUUGAUCAUGGCUCAGAUUGAACGCUGGCGGCAGGCCUAACACAUGCAAGUCGAGCGGUAACAGGACUAGCUUGCUAGUUGCUGACGAGCGGCGGACGGGUGAGUAACGCGUAGGAAUCUACCAAGUAGUGGGGGAUAAGCCAGAGAAAUUUGGUCUAAUACCGCAUACGUUCUUCGGAAGAAAGGAGGGGAUCUUCGGACCUUUCGCUAUUUGAUGAGCCUGCGUGAGAUUAGCUUGUUGGUGAGGUAAGAGCUCACCAAGGCGACGAUCUCUAGCUGGUCUGAGAGGAUGAUCAGCCACACUGGGACUGAGACACGGCCCAGACUCCUACGGGAGGCAGCAGUGGGGAAUAUUGCACAAUGGGCGCAAGCCUGAUGCAGCCAUGCCGCGUGUGUGAAGAAGGCCCUAGGGUUGUAAAGCACUUUCAGCAGUGAGGAAAGGUGUGUGGUUAAUACCCGCAUACUGUGACGUUACCCACAGAAGAAGCACCGGCUAACUCCGUGCCAGCAGCCGCGGU
rnacentral:rRNA from 1 species